AAGAUUAAGCCAUGCAUGUCUAAGCACAUGCCUUAAUACGGUGAAGCCGCGAAUAGCUCAUUACAACAGCCACCGUUUACUAGAAUAUAGUUAUCCUACUUGGAUAACUGUGGCAAUUCUAGAGCUAAUACAUGCAAAAAAGCUCCGCCCGCAAGGAACGAGCGCAUUUAUUAGAAUAAAAACCAAUCGGGUUUCGGCCCGUAAUUUGGUGAAUCUGAAUAACUUUGCCAAUCGCACAGUCCUAGUACUGGCGAUGUAUCUUUCAAGUGUCUGCCUUAUCAACUUUCGAUGGUAGGUUAUACGCCUACCAUGGUAGUAACGGGUAACGGAGAAUAAGGGUUCGACUCCGGAGAGGGAGCCUGAGAAACGGCUACCACAUCCAAGGAAGGCAGCAGGCGCGCAAAUUACCCACUUCCAGAACGGAGAGGUAGUGACGAAAAAUAACGAGACAGUCCUCUUCGAGGUCUGUCAUCGGAAUGGGUACAAUUUAAAUCCUUUAACGAGGAUCUAUUGGAGGGCAAGUCUGGUGCCAGCAGCCGCGGUAAUUCCAGC
rnacentral:rRNA from 1 species